ensembl:lncRNA
GCUCCCAGUUCUGCCAUCCCACCUGGAACUGCUGCAGCUUCUCCUCCUGAAGUGUGGCUGAAAUGGGGCCAGAGCCCAGGAGGAGAAACCCCGAGUUCCUCAGGGAGAGCCUCUAGAGCUGAUCCUGUUAGCCCAGUCCCUCAGCCCAGUUUGUUCCCCAUUAUCCCAGUUUGUUCCCCAUUAUCCCAGUCCCUCAUCCUGGUUUGUUCCCCAUUAUCCCGGUCCCUGAUCCUGGCACCUAUUCCCAGUUAUCCCACUCUCUAUUCCCAAUUCCCCCAGUCUCCAUUCCCAGUCUCCCACUCCCCAUUCCCAGUUCUCCCAUUCCCACUCCCCAUUCUCAUUCCCAGUUAUCCCCAUUCCCAGUUCCCCCACUCCCCAUUCCCAGUUAUCCCCCUCCCCACUCCUACUCCCCAUUCCCAGUUAUCCUCCUCCCAUUCCCAGUUACCCCACUCCCCAUUCCCACUCCCCAUUCCCAACUCCCCAUUCCCAGUUAUCCCCCUCCCUAUUGCCACUCCCCAUUCCCAGUUAUCCCGCUCCCCAUUCCCUUUCCCAGUUAUCCCCUUCCCCAUUCCCACUCCCCAUUCCCAUUCCCAGUUAUCCCACUCCCCAUUCCCACUCCCCAUUCCCAUUCCCAGUUAUCCCACUCCCCAUUCCCACUCCCCAUUCCCAUUCCCAGUUAUCCCACUCCCCAUUCCCACUCCCCAUUCCCAUUCCCAGUUAUCCCACUCCCCAUUCCCACUCCCCAUUCCCAUUCCCAGUUAUCCCACUCCCCAUUCCCACUCCCCAUUCCCAUUCCCAGUUAUCCCACUCCCCAUUCCCACUCCCCAUUCCCAUUCCCAGUUAUCCCACUCCCCAUUCCCACUCCCCAUUCCCAUUCCCAGUUAUCCCACUCCCCAUUCCCACUCCCCAUUCCCAUUCCCAGUUAUCCCACUCCCCAUUCCCACUCCCCAUUCCCAUUCCCAGUUAUCCCACUCCCCAUUCCCACUCCCCAUUCCCAUUCCCAGUUAUCCCACUCCCCAUUCCCACUCCCCAUUCCCAUUCCCAGUUAUCCCACUCCCCAUUCCCACUCCCCAUUCCCAUUCCCAGUUAUCCCCCUCCCCACUCCUACUCCCCAUUCCCAUUCCCAGUUAUCUCACUCCCCAUUCCCACUCCCCAUUCCCAUUCCCAGUUAUCCCCCUCCCCACUCCUACUCCCCAUUCCCAGUUAUCCUCCUCCCAUUCCCAGUUACCCCACUCCCCAUUCCCACUCCCCAUUCCCAACUCCCCAUUCCCAGUUAUCCCCCUCCCUAUUGCCACUCCCCAUUCCCAGUUAUCCCGCUCCCCAUUCCCUUUCCCAGUUAUCCCCUUCCCCAUUCCCACUCCCCAUUCCCAUUCCCAGUUAUCCCACUUCCCAUUCCCACUCCCCAUUCCCAGUUAUCCCAUUUCCCAUUCCCACUCCCCAUUCCCAUUCCCAGUUAUCCCACUUCCCAUUCCCACUCCCCAUUCCCAGUUAUCCCAUUUCCCAUUCCCACUCCCCAUUCCCAUUCCCAGUUAUCCCACUUCCCAUUCCCACUCCCCAUUCCCAGUUAUCCCAUUUCCCAUUCCCACUCCCCAUUCCCAUUCCCAGUUAUCCCACUUCCCAUUCCCACUCCCCAUUCCCAGUUAUCCCAUUUCCCAUUCCCACUCCCCAUUCCCAUUCCCAGUUAUCCCACUUCCCAUUCCCACUCCCCAUUCCCAGUUAUCCCAUUUCCCAUUCCCACUCCCCAUUCCCAUUCCCAGUUAG